UGCAGUCCAUGGGAUCACAAAGAGUCAGACACGGCUGAGCAACUGAACAACAGCACCCGAGACAGAGGUUCAUCAAGCCAGAGAAUGUCAAGGCUAUGUUCUCAUGCUGAAGGGAUCUUAGCAAGUAUCUGUUCCUUUCCCAGAGAGGGAGCUCUGGAGAGUCAAAGAUCUCCUUUGCUGUGUUCCCACAAUACCUGGGAGAGCAGUUUCCACGGAGUGAAGACAUUGAUGAGAAGGCAAGAAGACUGCUUCGAACUCUUCAGGAAAGAAUGAAUCAAACCAACAUCUACAGAGAAUAGAGUUCUGCGUUACUGAGGCCACAGAGGUCUGCUUUCAUGACAUCCAGACCGAGGCCGUGAUAGACUUCUCUCUGUGUGCAGAAAGGUUGGCAGCAGAGAAGCAUAUGCCAGUAAAGACAGAUCAUAGAGACUGGAUAAAGUAUGACAAGGGAGCCAAAGAGGAGAGUAACCAGGAAUGGACCAAGAGGCAAAGUUCACUUAUUUAUUCAUUCAUUCAACAAAUAAAUUCUUGAGAAUCUACUGUGUGCCAGACACUGUUCUGAGCCAUGAAGAUUGUGCUGUGACCAACAUCAAGGAAAUCCCCUGCCCACCGUUUUGAAGCUUACAUUCUAGUGAUGAGAGCAGAGUCUUUCUCCAGAGCCCUGUUCUUUCCAGCCACAUGAAAAAGACUGUUUUAUCCAGUGAUGCCCAAGACAGGGUUCUCAGUCUGCCUACCUCUGUGAUUCAGUUCAAAAGAUUAUGUGGCUAUCAUACCAAGCCACAUACCAAAGCUCAGCUUUAUUAAUAAAAAGCCUGUUCUCCCACCCGACUGGGAAACACGACCGGGGACCUAUGAACAGAAGUGAUGUCAUGCUGAUUAGUAAACCCUCUUUGCAGUGAAUAGAUAAGGAGCUAGCUGUCAAACUCCAAAUCCCCCAGGAACAGAACAAAGAAAGAUUUAUUCUGGAAUGUCAGCAUCCAUGCUGGGAGCAGUAGCUUUCCCCAGACACUUUCUAUUUGUCCAGAGAAGAACUAGGGUUUGACAUGAAUAGCGCCUCUCAGCUGCUUCCCAUAUUGGAUAAAGAUGGAGGGAGACCUCCAAGACCCUCCUCCCCACUCUGUGUAUGUGAACAGUCCGUCAAGGCCCAUGAAAUCUAAUUUCCUUUGUCAAGGAAAUAUAGCUCAAGAUGUCAAAGAAAUCAGAAGACAGUGAAAAGAAAGUGGAAACAAUUUUAAAAGGCGUGGAUUAAAACUUUGUAUAAAAAUUAAAGUACAAUGUGAAUUAACAGAUAAUAAUGGGAAUCCUUGAGCACUGUUGAUGGAACUGCUGCAGCCACUAUGGAACACAGUGUGGCGGUUCCUCAAAAGACGAAAAAUAGAACUACCUUACGCAAGUCGUUCCCGGGUAUACAUCCAAAGAAAAUGAAAACAGGAUACCAAAAGAUAUCUGCACUACCACACUCAUUGCAGCAUUAUUCACAACAGCUAAGAGGAAAUCUGGCUCGUAGAUGAGGACUUCCAACUUUCCCUGUCCUGAGAGAAGUUGUUGAUGAAGGUUCCACGGGAGUACACGGGAUAUUGCUGCUGCAGCCGUGAAAGGAGCCAGAGGAAACUGACCAGAGAACAGGUCCAUUUCCGGCACUCUGUCCUCACAUCAGAGUGGGUCUCCUAUCAAAGUGGAUGUGCUCCCGAGCAGGGCAGCAUUAUUAAAAUGUCCCUUUCCUCUGGCACGCUACAUCUUCAGAUGGCUUCUUCCGUGCCUCAUCCAAGUCCAGUCCCUCUCACACCAGUGGGUCAGAAAAUUAGGCUCAUUUCUUUUGGAACCGGUUGUUUCCCACUGCGUAGACAUAUGCUACAUGAUAUUGCAUUUUACAGUUUAUUUUACAUCAAGACAUUUCUAUGCCCUGAUUCAUAUGUUUUGUGUUGGAAAAGUAUGAUGGCUGCAUUAUGUUGAUGGAAAUCAUUGCUAAGAGGCACAAAACCUGAUUUCAAAUUUUGGACAACAAAUCUAUCUAAUUAACCUUGGUGGAUGCAAAAAUCUUUGGGUAAAACAGAAAUGUUUUCCUCUGGUGUGGAGCAGCUGAACAUGUUUUUAAAUGAAGUAGGAACAAAAGAGAGACUUCCAAAUGCAUCCAGAAAAGAAGCAGAUUUGUUUUACACGAUCAGACUCCAAGGAGAACCUCUGAGAACAAACUUGGUCAUCCCCAGAGAUUUUGAAGUUACUGGCAGCAGUCAGGUGGAAAACAGGACAUCUUAUUUGGGAAAUGCACUUAAAUAUCUUCUAAUGUAAUAAACAGGCAGGGACAUUUCUCCCAAUCUGACAUGUACCGUUGGAAACUGCAAAGGGAACCCCUGCAAAAUGCAGGUGAUGGGAGUCAAAUCCAAAUGAAAUACCAAGUCUGGGAAACUGAAGUCAAGUGCCGAAAUGUUUAGUCAAUGGAAAGUGCACAUGCAGACCCUUCAUGAGCCCACAGCAGAAGGAAAGCAGAAGGGAAGGAGUUUUCAAAGAUGUUCAGGACAACAGCCUCCAGAAAUAAGAGCUCCAGUCUGAUCAGGAGAGGUACAAACAGAAAAAGCAGCUCAAGUGAUCCUUGCUCACUUCUGAGGCCAUCAGUGGGUCCCCAGAACCGGGAAAAUGUGAGAAUACCUGGUACAUUUCUCCGAAGUUGGUCAGACAUGCUAGAGACUGUAGAACUACACCUCCCCAAAAUAAAGAAGAUGAGGAGAAUAUAUUAGGAGUAACUAAUAAGACUUUGCUCAGGAUAGAGAAAAGCCAAGGUGUUUACAUGACAAGAAACGAAAGUAUUUGAAGGCUCAAAUUAAACUCCUUCCAUGUAGCAGUCAGGGAUCUCUUUCGUUACAGGGCCAGAUAGUAAAUAUUUUCAACUUUGUGGGCCACAUGAAGUCUUAGUCACAUAUUUUUCUUUUGUGUGUGUGUUUGUUUUGCCACACUUUAAAAAUGUAGAAAACAUCCUUAGCUCACGUGAUGUACAAAAGCAAGUCUUGGCCCACAGACCACAGUCUGCUGACUUGGAGCAAUGACGUACUGUAGGAGAUGACAGCCAGGUGUCUUUUACAAAGUUACAUAAAUUUACAUAAAUUAAUGGGACAGGUGUAUAUGUCUGCAUUUCAAGUCAUCUCAAAACUACACUCCCUGUCAUUUUAAAUAAAUGCAUUCUUUGGGGAUGAUUCAUGUAAAUGUGCCUCUACUUAUAAACUGGAUUUUUCACCAACCAAAGUGGUAAAUGUUGAAAGUAGGACUCAUAUACACAUUUGAGAGAAAAGUAAAAGCAUAUCACAAAAUAAGAGCUGGUAUUUAUUGUGAAGUUACUAUGUGCCAGACAGUGUAUAUGUAGUUGCUCUGAAUUGUCUUCUCCCAAAAUUCAUAUGCUGAAGCCCUAAACCCUACUAUGACUGUAUUUGGAGCAGGGCCACUAAGGAGUCCUAUAUUUUUAUAAAUAGAUCUUUACUGACUAGAAAUAUUUAAGAGGGUGUUAGUCACUCAGUCGUGUCCAACUCUUUGCGAGCCCAUGGAUAGGCUUUUCUGUCCAUGGAAUUCUCAAGGCAAGAAUAGUGGAGUGGGUAGCCAUUCUAGGGAUUCACUAUUCCAGGGAUCAAACUCAGGUCUCUUGCAUUGUAGGCAGAUACUUUAUUGUCUGGUCCACCAGGGAAGUAAUUAAGUUUACAAUGGGCGCACAAGAAUGGAGCUCUAGUUCAUUAAGACUGGGGUCCUUCUAAGAAGAGGAAGGUACCCCAGGAGUGUAUGUACACAAAGAAGAGGCCGGAUGAGAUUGCAAUAGGAAGGCUGCUGUCUGCAAGCCAGGAAGAAAGUCCUCCCUGGAAACCAACUAUGCUAACACAUUAUCCUUGGAUUUCCAGCCUCCAGAAUUUGAUCUCCUAUUUACUAGAUGAUGAGCGACAGCCAAUUGCCUGCUAGAGGAGAGUUGCAUCACUAUACCAGAAAUGUAAAGAGAAAAAAACAGAUUAACACUCUCAGAGGCCCUUGGAUGAAGAGUAUGAAGACCUUGAGGAAUUAGUGGCAGCGAAGGCAGUGAGCCUUCCCCCAACUCGGGCAUCUCAGCUAUGGGUGAGUCAGGACCACAGUGUGAAGCCAGCGUCACUUCCUUCUGCAGCCCCUGGGCUCCCUUUUGGCUGCAGGGCUGAAGAGGAGGAAGACAAAAGCAAGCCGUACUGGGGAGUCUGGUGAAGAGUCUGGGUAAUGAAGGCUCAAACUGAGGCUCUGGA